GGAAAUUCCAGCCUUGAUAGAAGCUCAGCCGGGAGUUUGAGGUGACACAGAGCCGGUGGAGAAGGGUGAUCUCUGUGUCCUUUUGACUCCCCGGCAUUAAAAGUGCGGAACGCCGAGACUGCAGCCAUGACGACCCACGUGACCCUGGAAGAUGCCCUGUCCAACGUGGAUCUGCUGGAGGAGCUGCCCCUGCCCGACCAGCAGCCAUGCAUCGAGCCCCCACCCUCCUCCAUCAUGUACCAGGCGAACUUUGACACCAACUUCGAGGACAGAAAUGCAUUUGUCACCGGCAUCGCCAGGUACAUCGAGCAGGCGACAGUCCACUCG